rnacentral:misc_RNA from 1 species
AUUGGUAUUCUAACAACAAACUUCAACUUCCAUAAGAGAUAAUAUCUGUGAAACAAGCAAUUAUUCAAUUCUUAGCAUUCUUAACCUCAAAUGCAUUUGCAGGGUUAGGAGGUUGUUCCUAAACUGUUUGGUUAGCCAUAAUGGAGUAUAAUGGAAUGAAGUUUCAGUUCAUUGUUCAAUUGGAUUUUUUAUUUGAUUACAUUCAAUUGCACGUUCCAAAUAUGCCCUUCAUGUACUGGUCCCUUACUCUUGCAAACACCAAACCACUAUUCCAAUAGUGUGAAACUUUUUGUUAAUAUAGAAUGCAAUAGAUGCUUCCUUUGCAACAAAUUGCAACAAACUAUCAUGAUGUGAUAUCAAUACAUAUACUCAUCAAACCAGGCAGUGAUGAAACACCUGUCGCUCCUUGUUGAAGUAAAUAGAUCAAUCUCCGAACACAAGCAUGAGCUGAACAUGAUAAAACUUGUAAACAUUACAACAUAAAAAGCAGCCAAACAUCCAAUCUGUCUGAUUGACUUUACCAGUAAAUUGAGAAGAGAAAAUGAUACACACACCAAGUUUGCUUUUCUCUUAUUUUUCUAUUUAUUCAAGCCAUUCAAGCUGCUGUUAUUACAAUGUUCUUAGUUCUUACAUAGGCUUGAGGAUGAUGAAAAGGAUAAUGAUAAAAGAUACAAGUUAACCCAAUUUUAGAAUCAAACUGAAUAUAACUUUCAAGAAAAUAACAGUAUGAUUAUUUAAAUUUUCCAGUUCAAAAAAUUGCCUAACCAGAUUAGACAAAUAAUUUAAUUAUGGGACCAAUAUCUGAUUCACAACAAUCUAUAAGCAUUCAAACAACCUCGUUGACUUCAGAAAUGCAUUAUCAAUUUCAUCUCCCUGCAGUUUAAGAUCCCAACGACCACAAGGUUUACGUGAAAAAUUACAAUCUUCUCAAACAGUCAAAAUCUCCAAAUUGAAUAGCAAAAUAUCAAUGUUGCCAUAUCUGAAAGCAAUCUCCGAAACUCUUUUCAGAAAUUUCGAAUAAAACAUAACCCCACAAGCUUCAUUUCAUAUCAGUUAUGGAAUGCCUCUUCUGUACAAACUUCACUCAAAACAUAACCUUUCUAAUCCCCAUGAAUGCAGCUCCAAAAAACAUUGACCAAAAGAUGAAGUCAGGCCUCCACCCUCCAAAACAUGAGCAAUGAGUAUCUCUUUAGGAAGCUCUCCAUGAAUCUACUUCAGAUUGGGAUAAAGAAAAUUUGCAAUAAGUGAGGAUUGAGGGGGAAAGAAGGUCCAUGCUUAGAGGCCAUCUAAUGCUGCCGGCCAUUAUUCUUCAUUUAACCAACAUUUCUAUGGCUUCAACAUGAACAUUCAAACCUGAGGCAUGAAUCAAUUCGAAUAGCAAAAUGCGAGAAUAAUGUAUAGGUACUCACGAAAAAUUACCUUUUUCAAUUUGGACCCAAUUAAUGCUUUCAAUAUCUAAAUUCAUCUCAAAUCUAAUUAAUAUUUAUUCUCAACUACUGAACUCCUAUCAAACACUUCAACUAGAACCCAUCUUAAACAAAU